rnacentral:rRNA from 1 species
GCUAGUGACCAUAGUGGAGAGGUAAUACCCGUUCCCAUUCCGAACACGGAAGUCAAGCUCUCUUACGCCGAUGAUACUGCCUUCAGCGGGAAAGUAGGAAGUUGCUAGCU